GGCUCUGCCAGCUGAUCGGAGUGAGAAGCCGGUUUGAAGAGUUGAAGGAGAGAGAGAGAGAGAGAGAGAUAGGGGGAUAGCCCGUGAAGCGACGAGAGAAACGGGGGAACAGGGCGAGCAGGAUAUGCCUUUUUACUUCCCGUGUUAUUUAUUUUAUAACAGUUAAAUCGCACCGGACGGCUCCAAUAGAAAGAUAAGCGACAGAGUGAUGGAGAAUUUGCGAGGCUUUAAGCCACCGAAAGCUCGGGAACUGUCAGAAAAAAUUGACAGAGUUAAGGUGUGGCUGAGAGAUUUUCAAAGGCGUUUGGUAUAGUAGUGUUUAAAUUCAGGUGGUUAAGUUUAUACUGUCGUUUUGUAAGCAUGUACGGUUGAUCAGUAUGGCUGCUCCCACAUUUAUUACCAGUCAUGCUUAAUCGGGGUGAUCUUUUUUUCCUUAUGCGUUACAACUCAAUGUGCGCACCUUUUAAAUUGAGUAGCCUAAGUGCAGCAGCCUAGAUUUUGUCACAUCGUUAAUAGCCUGAUUCGUUUUUUAGGGCAGUGGGUUCCACACGUAUCGUGUCAGGAGACCCUCAAAUGUAAUGGACGUGGCAACUUUACAGUAGCCAACCCCGAUCAAUGUAACGUCAACUAUGCCAUAGGCAACUGGGCGUGGGGAAAACCGUACAUUACGUUUCUUUCAACGCCUAAUAGUCAUCAACUCGACCCUAAAGAGAGAGUUGCGCAUUUCACGCAUUAAAUAUCCGAGGCUGUGGCUGCUGACUAACGCUUCGAUGGGACCAAUCGAUGGAUUUACCUUAAAAAAGUAUACCUCUUCAAAAAAACAAAAGAAUAUUCUUUCGCUGGGGGUGGUUUGAUCAAGCACCUUUUCUACUACGUUGAGGAACCUUGGUGGUUUCCAUGAGUGAGGUUUCACCCAAAGACUCACCCUGAAGAGGUGUGAAGUUUUAGUUUGUGUGUGCAUUCUGGGUGCCUCGUGGCUGACCCACAUCAGUUCUUCACUGGCAAGCUUUAUGUCAUAUGUACCAACUAAAGCUGCCAGCUGAAGAACUGUUGUGGUUGGCUCUUUCCUGCACCUCAAGACCCCUCUCAUCAUGUGAGAUUUCUCUCCGCCUCCAUCCAGGUGACUUGUGAAGCGGAGGGGGAACAACUCCUAGGAAACGUACAGCAUUAUGUCACUAAGAUGGAUGCAACUGAGAUAAAUGUAUUAACAUGCAUGUCAAAGGAUUUUUUGCUUCUACAUUGUAUCUUGAUUAGAUUUGAUUAUAUACAUAGGCCUGAUUGUCUUGAAGGUCAAAGUUAUUUAUAUUGAUUUUACUUAUGUUGUUAAUGUUAUUAAUGUCCAGUAUGAAACAGAAGAGGCAUGUGAUAUUCCAAUGUAUGUUUCACCAACCUUGCAUCAAUGAAAAAUGACAUCAUAUUUUAAUAAAGAAUACUGCACAUCCAA